rnacentral:rRNA from 1 species
GGGCCCGCACAAGCGGUGGAUGAUGUGGUUCAAUUCGAUGCAACGCGAAAAACCUUACCUACCCUUGACAUGCCAGGAAGCCCGAUGAAAGUCGGGUGUGCCCGAAAGGGAACCUGGACACAGGUGCUGCAUGGCUGUCGUCAGCUCGUGUCGUGAGAUGUUGGGUUAAGUCCCGCAACGAGCGCAACCCUUGCCACUAGUUGCUACAUUCAGUUGGGCACUCUAGUGGGACUGCCGGUGACAAACCGGAGGAAGGUGGGGACGACGUCAAGUCCUCAUGGCCCUUAUGGGUAGGGCUACACACGUCAUACAAUGGCGCAUACAGAGGGCUGCCAACCCGCGAGGGGGAGCAAAUCCCAGAAAGUGCGUCGUAGUCCGGAUUGAAGUCUGCAACUCGACUUCAUGAAGUCGGAAUCGCUAGUAAUCGCGGAUCAGCAUGUCGCGGUGAAUACGUUCCCGGGCCUU